CUCUACAUUCGCCACACCUACGGACCAACCACCAUGGCUUCUCUGGCAUUAAUCCGCAGAAAGAUUAUAAUCACCCGCACCACGCUCUCCCACUGGCACGUGUGCGCACGAGCAUUCUCCAACGCUGACAGCAACAACAAUCGCAUCGAGAAGAUUCUAGUAGCUAACCGCGGCGAAAUAGCUUGCAGGAUCAUGCGCACCGCACGGAGGCUUGGCAUUCAAACCGUCGCCGUGUAUAGCGACGCCGAUAGGGACUCGCUACACGUGGCCUCCGCCGACGAGGCCAUCCGAAUCGGACCGCCACCGGCGCGCCUCAGUUACUUGAACGGAACCACCAUCGUCGACGCCGCCAUUCGCUCCGGCGCACAGGCUAUUCACCCUGGGUAUGGAUUCUUGUCCGAGAGUGCUGUCUUCGCUAAGCUUUGUGAGGACAGUGGUCUCACGUUUAUUGGGCCUCCUGCAUCUGCAAUUCGCGACAUGGGAGACAAGAGUGCAUCGAAGAGAAUAAUGGGAACUGCAGGGGUGCCUCUUGUGCCUGGAUAUCACGGAGAUGAUCAAGAUAUUGAGAGAAUGAAGUUAGAAGCUGAUAAGAUUGGAUACCCAGUCCUAAUUAAGCCAACCCAUGGUGGUGGAGGAAAGGGUAUGAGAAUUGUGCACUCUCCAGAGGAGUUUGUUGAAUCAUUCCUAGCAGCACAACGGGAAGCAGCAGCUUCUUUUGGUGUCAACACCAUAUUGCUGGAGAAGUAUAUUACACGGCCAAGACAUAUAGAAGUCCAAAUAUUUGGGGAUAAGCAUGGGAAUGUUCUGCAUUUGAAUGAGCGAGAUUGCAGUGUUCAGAGAAGACACCAAAAAAUAAUAGAAGAAGCUCCAGCACCAAACAUUUCUGCCGACUUUCGCGCACACUUAGGUCAAGCUGCUGUUUCUGCAGCAAAGGCAGUUAAUUAUUACAGUGCUGGGACUGUGGAGUUUAUAGUUGAUACAAUCUCUGACGAGUUUUACUUCAUGGAGAUGAAUACACGUCUUCAGGUUGAGCAUCCUGUCACAGAAAUGAUUGUUGGUCAGGAUCUUGUUGAAUGGCAAAUUCUUGUUGCCAAUGGAGAAGCUCUUCCAUUGAGUCAAUCACAGGUACCCAUAUCAGGCCAUGCUUUUGAAGCUCGAAUCUAUGCUGAAAAUGUUCAAAAAGGGUUUCUUCCAGCAACUGGAGUUCUACACCAUUAUCAUGUUCCAGUCUCAUCUGAAGUUCGGGUGGAGACUGGGGUUAAACAAGGAGACACUGUUAGCAUGCACUAUGAUCCUAUGAUUGCUAAGCUUGUGGUGUGGGGAGACAAUCGUGCUUCUGCAUUGGUCAAACUGAAGGAUAGUUUGUCAAAGUUCCAGGUUGCAGGUUUACCAACCAAUGUCAGCUUCAUUCUAAAGCUAGCUAAUCACGGGGCAUUUGCAAAUGGCAAUGUGGAGACUCAUUUUAUUGAUAACUACAAAGAAGAUCUCUUUGGGGAUGGUAACAAUUCAGUGUCUGACCAAGAAGCAUACGAAGCUGCUAGACAUAAUGCAUCUCUAGUGGCCGCAUGUCUCAUUGAGAAAGAGCAUUUCGUAUCAUCAAGAAACCCCCCUGGGGGCGGCAGCUUACUCCCUAUAUGGUAUUCUUCUCCGCCUUUUAGAGUUCAUCAUCAGGCUAAGCGUAAAAUGGAACUUGAAUGGGAAAAUGAAUAUGAUAGCGGUAGCUCAAAGACCAUGAAGCUUACUAUCACCUGUCAGCCUGCUGGGAGAUACCUGAUUGAAACAGAAGAAAAUGGAUCUCCUGUUUUAGACGUCAAAGCAUCAUAUGUAAAAGAUCGCCAUUUUAGAGUUGAAGCUGGUGGUGUAAUCAAUGAUGUUAACGUAGCUGUUUAUUCAAAGGAUCAAACAAGGCAUAUUCAUAUUUGGCAAGGAUCCUAUCAUCAUUAUUUCAGAGAGAAGUUAGGCCUGGAUCUAUCUGAGGAUGGAGAAUUACAACAUAAACCCAAAGUUGAAACAUCAGCCAAUCCUCGAGGGACAGUUGUAGCACCCAUGGCAGGCUUGGUAGUUAAAGUUCUAGUGGAGAACAAGACAAGAGUAGAGGAAGGUCAACCUGUGAUAGUAUUAGAAGCAAUGAAGAUGGAGAAAGUUAUAUAUAACCAACAAUGUUCUGCGCUUCUAGCAUGUUGUAAAGGCACCAUCUUCUGGCUAUGUGCAUGAACUUCAAGUUACGGUUGGUGAACAGGUUUCAGAUGGCAGUGUUCUUUUCAGUGUAAAGUGUCCACGCUUCUUAGAUCAUCAGUAAUACUGAUUGUGGUGCUUGGACAGGAUCAAUAAAAUCUCACACGGAUUACAGCUUUACCGUUAUGUCAAGAUUCUGGCAACAGGGCCUCUAUCUGAAUGGAUACUUGCACGCAGGAGGACAACCGAACGCCUUGAAUUUGAUUACUUAGAAGUCCUUGUAACUCAAUUUUUCAAGUUACAAAGGAUGACAUGUACUUUACAAUAAUGCAAACAGUUUCUCCAGUAACUAUAUAAUAAGACUACAAAUUGCUUCAUGUUUA